AGGGGCAGCACGAUUGAAGCUUGCUUCAAUUGAAGGCGACCGGCGCACGGGGGAGUAACGAGUAUCCAACCUUCCCUUUAUUUAGGGAAAACCUUUUGAAAGAAAAAAUUAAUACCCGAUGGUUUUAUAAGUUCCCAUGGUUUUUCCUUAAAAGAUUUUUCGGUAAACGAUGGGGAUGCGUUCCAUUAGUUAGUAGGGGGGGGUAACGGCCCACCUAGCCUACGAUGGAUAGGGGUUCUGGAGAAGGAAGGUCCCCCACAUUGGAACUGAGACACGGUCCAAACUCCUACGGGAGGCAGCAGGUGGAGGAAUAUUGGUCAAUGGACGGAGAGUCCUGAACCAGCCCAAGUAGCGUGAAGGAUGAAGGCUCCUAUGGGUUGUAAACUUCUUUUAUAAGGGAAUAAAGUGUCCCACGUGGUGGAUUUUUGUAUGUACCUUAUGAAUAAGCAUCGGCUAACUCCGUGCCAGCAGCCGCGGUAAUACGGAGGAUCCGAGCGUUAUCCGGAUUUAUUGGGUUUAAAGGGAGCGUAGACGGGUCGUUAAGUCAGUUGUGAAAGUUACGGCUCAACCGUAAAAUUGCAGUUGAUACUGGCGUCCUUGAGUGCAGUAGAGGUGUGCGGAAUUCGUGGGGAGCG
rnacentral:rRNA from 1 species